rnacentral:rRNA from 1 species
UACAAAGGAAGUUGACGGGGCCGGCCACAAGCGGAGGAGCAUGUGGUUUAAUUCGAUGAUACGCGAGGAACUUACCUGGGCUCGAACGUAAGAUGACUGUAGGUGAAAGCUUACAUCUCUUCGGAGCAUUUUACGAGGUGCUGCAUGGUUGUCGUCAGCUCGUGCCGUGAGGUGUCGGGUUAAGUCCCAUAACGAGCGCAACCCCUACCUUAGUUGCCAUCAGGUAAUGCUGGGGACUCUAAAGGAACUGCCUACGCAAGUAGUGAGGAAGGCGGGGAUGACGUCAAAUCAGCACGGCCCUUACGUCCAGGGCUACACACGUGCUACAAUGGCCGAUACAGAGGGCAGCUACCUGGUGACAGGAUGCAAAUCUCCAAAGUCGGUCUCAGUUCGGAUCGGAGUCUGCAACUCGACUGCGUGAAGUCGGAAUCGCUAGUAAUCGUGAAUCAGAAUGUCACGGUGAAUACGUUCCCGGGCCUU